AUGAUGGGAAAAGAUUGAAAACCUUCCCUUUUAAGAUUGGGUUCUAUGGUUGGAGGCAAAAUUGCUCUUAGUAAGACUUCCUCCUUUUCUUUCUUUUCCCUUUCUUGUCUUUCCUCUUCUUGUUCUCUUCUCUCUUUUUCUUCUCUCUUUCUCUUCUCUUCUUCUUUCCUCUCUUCUCUUCUUAUUCCCUUUCUUCUCUCUUCUUCUUCUCUUCUUAAUUCCUCUCUUCUCUCUUUCUCUUUUCUUCUUUCCUUUCUUCCUUUUCUCUUCUCUCAAUCUCUCUUUUUCUUUUCUUAUCCUUGAUCUCUUUAAGUUUUGCCCCAAAUUCUAACUCUCUCCUAAGAAACCCAUGAUC
rnacentral:lncRNA from 1 species